AGGUCUCUGGGCUGUAACUGACGCUGAGGAGCGAAAGCAUGGGGAGCGAACAGGAUUAGAUACCCUGGUAGUCCAUGCCGUAAACGUUGGGCACUAGGUGUGGGGGACAUUCCACGUUUUCCGCGCCGUAGCUAACGCAUUAAGUGCCCCGCCUGGGGAGUACGGCCGCAAGGCUAAAACUCAAAGGAAUUGACGGGGGCCCGCACAAGCGGCGGAGCAUGCGGAUUAAUUCGAUGCAACGCGAAGAACCUUACCAAGGCUUGACAUGAACCGGUAAUACCUGGAAACAGGUGCCCCGCUUGCGGUCGGUUUACAGGUGGUGCAUGGUUGUCGUCAGCUCGUGUCGUGAGAUGUUGGGUUAAGUCCCGCAACGAGCGCAACCCUCGUUCUAUGUUGCCAGCGGUUCGGCCGGGGACUCAUAGGAGACUGCCGGGGUCAACUCGGAGGAAGGUGGGGACGACGUCAAAUCAUCAUGCCCCUUAUGUCUUGGGCUUCACGCAUGCUACAAUGGCCGGUACAAAGGGUUGCGAUACUGUGAGGUGGAGCUAAUCCCAAAAAGCCGGUCUCAGUUCGGAUUGGGGUCUGCAACUCGACCCCAUGAAGUCGGAGUCGCUAGUAAUCGCAGAUCAGCAACGCUGCGGUGAAUACGUUCCCGGGCCUUGUACACACCGCCCGUCAAGUCACGAAAGUUGGUAACACCCGAAGCCGGUGGCCUAACCCUUGUGGGGGGAGCCGUCGAAGGUGGGACCGGCGAUUGGGACUAAGUC
rnacentral:rRNA from 1 species